AAGUCGUAACAAGGUUUCCGUAGGUGAACCUGCGGAAGGAUCAUUACCUUUCUGGCUAUUUAGUAGCUUGUCGGGGGGUUAUAGUCUCUAUAGCCUCUGACUGAAUCCGUGUUUUUUGCGUACUACAUGUUUUCCCUCGGCAGGCUUUGCCCUGCCGAUUGGACAACCUAAAACUCUUUGCAAUUGCAAUCAGCGUCUGGAUUAUUUAAUAAUUUACAAC
rnacentral:misc_RNA from 1 species